rnacentral:rRNA from 1 species
CCCUUAGAUGUUCUGGGCCGCACGCGCGCUACACUGAUGCAUUCAACGAGUCUAAAACCUGCUCUGAUAGGGGUGGGUAAUCUUUUGAAUGUGCAUCGUGAUUGGGAUAGAUGAUUGCAAUUUUUCAUCUUCAACGAGGAAUGCCUAGUAAACGCAAGUCAUCAGCUUGCAUUGAUUACGUCCCUGCCCUUUGUACACACCGCCCGUCGCUCCUAUCGAUUGAAUGAUCCGAUGAAUAUCAUGGAUUGAGGAUGUAAGCAGGUUCGCCUGUCUUCAUCUUCGAGAAGUGAAGUAAAUCUUAUCAUUUAGAGGAAGGAGAAGUCGUAACA